CUACAAUUAAUACAAGAACAAGAAACAAGAAAAAUAAUAACACAUGAAUUUGAGAAUUAAAAAAAUUACAUUGGUUCAAUUGAUGACUUCCAAGAGUUUUUCUUCAGUAGACAGUGUUCAAAGUCUUUAAAAAUCAGAUUCCAGCGAGGGUUUAAUAGAAUAUAGAGAUUUUUUCAUGAAGAUGUUGCCGAUUGGAGUCUUUGAGGAAAAGACGGUUGUCU
rnacentral:lncRNA from 1 species